rnacentral:rRNA from 1 species
GAUGAACGCUGGCGGCGUGCUUAACACAUGCAAGUCGAACGAGAAGUGAAGACGGAAACCUUCGGGCGGAAGGCUUUAUUUCGAGUGGCGGACGGGUGAGUAACGCGUGGGUAACCUGCCUCAUACAGGGGGAUAACAGUUGGAAACGACUGUUAAUACCGCAUAAGACGACAGCACCGCAUGGUGCGGGGGUAAAAACUCCGGUGGUAUGAGAUGGACCCGCGUUCGAUUAGCCAGUUGGCGGGGUAACGGCCCACCAAAGCGACGAUCGAUAGCCGAUCUGAGAGGAUGACCGGCCACAUUGGGACUGAGACACGGCCCAAACUCCUACGGGAGGCAGCAGUGGGGAAUAUUGCACAAUGGGGGAAACCCUGAUGCAGCGACGCCGCGUGAGUGAAGAAGUAUUUCGGUAUGUAAAGCUCUAUCAGCAGGGAAGAAAAUGACGGUACCUGAGUAAGAAGCCCCGGCUAACUACGUG